GACGAACGCUGGCGGCGUGCUUAACACAUGCAAGUCGAACGGAAAGGCCCUGCUUUUGUGGGGUGCUCGAGUGGCGAACGGGUGAGUAACCCGUGAGUAACCUGCCCUUGACUUUGGGAUAACUUCAGGAAACUGGGGCUAAUACCGGCUAGGAGCUCCUGCUGCAUGGUGGGGGUUGGAAAGUUUCGGCGGUUGGGGAUGGACUCGCGGCUUAUCAGCUUGUUGGUGGGGUAGUGGCUUACCAAGGCUUUGACGGGUAGCCGGCCUGAGAGGGUGACCGGCCACAUUGGGACUGAGAUACGGCCCAGACUCCUACGGGAGGCAGCAGUGGGGAAUAUUGCACAAUGGGCGGAAGCCUGAUGCAGCAACGCCGCGUGCGGGAUGACGGCCUUCGGGUUGUAAACCGCUUUCGCCUGUGACGAAGCGUGAGUGACGGUAAUGGGUAAAGAAGCACCGGCUAACUACGUG
rnacentral:rRNA from 1 species